CCGGUAGUCAGAAGCUUGCCUUGGACACGCCAGACUUCGCAAGAUAGGAAGUCAAGACCUGAAUCACUAUGGACCGGAGGCAACGUUGCCCAAUUUUGCUCCCCUCAGCAGGAUCCCUGAGCUGUGAGCAGUAUCUAAACCCUGGUCUCACAAUGGAGCAGCUAACUAUAAGCCAGUGACUUUACUAAUGCAAUUGACAUCAGACAGAUAAUUAGACAUGGACUAUGGGCUGUCCCACCUCUAUGCAUUUGUUUGUGUACACAUUUGUGCAGUUCUGAUUUUCUGAUUUUGAUUAAACUUAGGUGAAUUAUGUACUGUAUCUUGGAAAUAAUUUUCAGUUGUACUCUUAUAGUUCCACCUGAUGAAAGAUUCUAGAUAUACAGUGGAUAUAAAAAGUCUACACACCUGUUAAAAUGGCAGGUUCUUGUGAUAUAAAAGAAUGAGACAAAGAUAAAUCCUUUGCACAUCCCUCUUCCGGUCACCCCACAGAUGUUCAAUUGGAUUCAGGUCUGGAGUCUGGCUGGGCCAUUCCAAAACAUUAAUCUUUUUCUGAUGAAGACAUGCUUUUGUGGAUUUGGAUGUGUGCUUUGGGUCGUUGUCAUGCUGAAAGGUGAACUUCCUUUUCAUCUUCAGUUUUCUAAUGGACGCCUGAAGAUUUUGUGCCAAAAUUGCCUGGUAUUUGUAACUGUUCAUAAUUCCCUCCACCCUGACUAAGGCCCUGGUUCCAGCUGAAGAAAAACAGCCCCAAAGCAUGAUGCUGCCACCACCAUGCUUCACUGUGGGCAUGGUGUUCAUUGGGUGAUGUGCAGUGUUGUUUUUACGCCAAACAUACCUUUUGGAAUUAUAGCCAAAAGGUUCAACCCUGGUUACAUCAGACCAUAACACAUUUUCACACAUGCUUUUGGGGGACUUGAUGUUUGUUUUUGCAAAUUUCAGCCAGGCUUGGAUGUUUUUCUUUGUAAGAAAAGGCUUCCGUCUUGCCACCCUACCCUAUAGCCCAUUCAUAUGAAGAAUACAG
ensembl:lncRNA